rnacentral:rRNA from 1 species
AUAGCGUAUAUUAAAGUUGUUGCAGUUAAAAAGCUCGUAGUUGAAUUUCGGGGUUAGUAGGUUGGUCAUGCCUCUGGUAUGUACUGGUCUCACUGAUUCCUCCUUCCUGAUGAACCUUAAUGCCAUUAAUUUGGUGUUUUGGGGAAUUUGGACUGUUACUUUGAAAAAAUUAGAGUGUUUAAAGCAAGCUAACGCUUGAAUACAUUAGCAUGGAAUAAUAAAAUAGGACGUGCGGUUCUAUUUUGUUGGUUUCUAGAGUCGCCGUAAUGAUUAAUAGGGAUAGUUGGGGGCAUUGGUAUUGAGUCGCUAGAGGUGAAAUUCUUGGAUUGACUCAAGACCAACUAUUG